rnacentral:rRNA from 1 species
GAUGAACGCUGGCGGCGUGCCUAACACAUGCAAGUCGAGCGAACAGACGGGGAGCUUUCUCGUCUGACGUUAGCGGCGGACGGGUGAGUAACGCGUGGAUAAAAUAACUAUAAGACUGGGGUAACUUCGGGAAACCGGAGCUAAUGCCGGAAAAUAUAUUGAACCGAAUGGUUCAAUAGUGAAAGACGGUUUUGCUGUGACUUAUAGAUGGAUCCGCGCCGCAUUAGCUAGUUGGUCAGGUAACGGCUUACCAAGGCGACGAUGCGUAGCCGACCUGAGAGGGUGAUCGGCCACACUGGAACUGAGACACGGUCCAGACUCCUACGGGAGGCAGCAGUAGGGAAUCUUCCGCGAUGGGCGAAAGCCUGACGGAGCAACGCCGCGUGAAUGAUGAAGGUCUUCGGAUCGUAAAACUCUGUUAUUAGGGAGGAAGAAAUGUGUUAGUAACUAUGCACGUCUUGACGGUACCUGAACAGGAAGCCACGGCUAACUACGUG